rnacentral:lncRNA from 1 species
GGGGUCAGGGGUCAGGGACCCACUUGAGGAGGCAGUCUGCCCGUUCCCAGAUCUCCAGCUGCGUGCUGGAAGAACCACUACUCUCUUCAAAGCUGUCAGACAGGGACAUUUAAGUCUGCAGAGGUUACUGCUGUCUUUUUGUUUGUCUGUGCCCUGCCCCCAGAGGUGGAGCCUACAGAGGCAGGCAGGCCUCCUUGAGCUGUGGUGGGUUCCACCCAGUUGGAGCUUCCCGGCUGCUUUGUUUACCUAAGCAAGCCUGGGCAAUGGCGGGCGCCCCUCCCCCAGCCUCCCUGCCGCCUUGCAGUUUGAUCUCAGACUGCUGUGCUAGCAAUCAGCGAGACUCCGUGGGCGUAGGACCCUCCGAGCCAGGUGCGGGAUAUCAUCUCGUGGUGCGCCGUUUAAGCCAGUCGGAAAAGCGCAGUAUUCGGGUGGGAGUGACCCGAUUUUCCAGGUUAUCCAAGCCCAGAAGUGUUACCAGAAAGGGGACCGGAUCCAGACCCCAAGAGAGGGUUCUUGGAUCUCAUGCAAAAAAAGAAUUCAGGGAUUGGCUGUCAACAUUUAAAUAUCAAGAUUUCGGAGCGGGGCGCGAUGGCUCACGCCUGUGAUCCCAGCACUUUGGCAGGCCGAGGUGGGCAGAUCACGAGGUCAGGAGAUCGAAACACAGUGAAACCCCGUCUCUACUAAACAUACAAAAAAAAAAAUUAAAUUAAAUAUCAAGAUUUCUGGCUUCUCUUGAAGAAUUAGGUGAUGGGCCCACAUUUCCACACUAAAACAACUGUCCAGAACUGCGUAGGAGGCCGUGUCUAUUAGGCUGGAUCAGAAAUCUUGCUCAAGCAACACCCCUGCUGCCUCCCUCAGCAUGAACCUCGGUAUGAAGACAGAGACAAUGUUAUGUGUUCAUCCCAUAGGUUCUUCCCAGGCAUUUCCCGGCCCCGUAGGGUUAGCAUUGGUUGGCAAAAACCAUGUGACAGAGAUUUGCUGAUGGCAAUGUGAUGCAGUAAAGAGAUGGUGUAAAUUCUCCAUGUAUUCUUACAUUGUGUGGUUGGAAGCUAGAAACCUCUGAGAGGACAGACUGGCAAGAAAGAACCAGCUGACAUCCCCAAGUGAUCACUAUAGGACAGCUGCCAAGAAAAGCUCGCUGACUCCUCUGAGCCCCAAAUAGAAGCAAAAAACAAAGCUUGGUUGUGUUAAGCCACUGAUAUGCAGGGGUUAUCUGCUACCAUGGUAGAGCUUGUCCUCUGCUGACUGAUGAAAUGGAUCAUAAGAAUAGUAGCAAAUAUUCAUUGAGUGCUUCCUGAUUUGAAUGCCUAGUCAUUGGGCUAAAUACUUUACAUAUAAUACCUUAGUUAGUCUUAAUAAUUAUUCUGUCUGAUAGGUACUAUUAUUUUACCCUUUUUAGAUAAGAGGUUUAGAGAUGUUAAGUCAUAUACUUGAGUUCAUAGUAAGUGAGAGAGUUAGGCAGUCUGAUGCCAAAACUUUCGCUACGCUCCUCUCUUUUUUCUAUUCUAUAUUGUCUCGCUGAGUCUGUCUUUCUCUGUAAAAAAGGCAAUGAUAACCUCAACUUUAACAGUCAGAUAUUAGUUGUGCUAAGAGAUAGUCUGGGUUAAUUUUAAAUUAUUUGGAUCAGUUUGAAGUUACGUGGAGAAAUUGGCAAUGGUUUAAUCUACUUGAACCAGUCUAUACCAGAUAAGUACAGUUAGAAUUAAUUUGAGCUGGAUUCUGCUAGUAUAGACAUUCUGGAACACCCUUGGAUUUUUGCUAAUCCUUUAACAGAGAUAUUAUUGGCAGUUAGAUAGUAAUUAUUAUGUUAAGAAAAUGUAAUUAUAUUCUUAGGUUACUGAAGAGUUUAAUCAGAAAUAAUUAAAUGUUUCAAAAAUCAUGUGGGCAUCUCUAACACUGCUAGUGUAGCAAAACCUCCUGUCCAAAACCUCCUUCCAGUCACUACCUCCUCCAUCUUUUCCAAAGAAAAGCCUUACCCUGACUUAACAUGCCAUAGUGUGGGCGAAGGAUUACCCAGGUGCUGAGGCAAGAGACUGAAGGCACAAACUGUUGCAGUAUAAUAAGGAAAAUAGUUAGAAUAAGAAUAGUUAUAAUACAAAUUAGAUAUAGAGAUAACCAUAGACAUUAUCAAUCAUUAGUAUAAAUAUUAUUACUCAUUAGCUUUUAAUAUUACUCUUUGUUGUAUUACUAAUAUAACCAAGGAAUAACCAGCGGGUAUAGGGUCAGGUGCCAACGGGACAUUGUGAGAAGUGACCUAGAAAGCAAGAGGUGAGCCCUCUGUCACACCUGCAUAAGGGCCACUUGAGGGUUCCUUGGUCAAGCAGUAAUGCCAGUGCCUGGGAAGGCACCCGUUACUUAGCAGACCGUGAAAGGGAGUCUCCCUUUCCUUGGAGGAGUCAGGGAACACUCUGCUCCACCACCUUCUUGUGGGAGGCUGGAUAUUAUCCAGGCCUGCCCGCAGUCAUCCGGAGGCCUAAACCCCUGCCUGUGGUGCUGUGCUUCAGUAGUCAUGCUCCUUGUCCACUUUCAUGUUCCUCCCGCACUCCUGGUUCCUCUUUGAAGUUCUUAGUAGAUAGUGGUAGAAGAAAUAGUGAAAGUCUUAAAAUCUUUGAUCUUUCUUAUAAAUGCAUAGAAGAAAAUGCUGACAUAUACUGCCUUCCCUCUCUGCUUCGGCUACCUAAGAGCAAAGGGCCCCCUGUCCCAUGAUCACGUGACUUGCUUGACCUUAUCAAUCACCUGGACGACUCACCUGCCUUACCCUGCCUCCUUGUCUUGUAUGCAAUAAAUAUCAGCACACCCAGCUAUUUGGGGCCACUACCGGUCUCCACGUCUUGGUGGUAGUGGUCCCCCGGGCCCAGCUGUUUUCUCUUUAUCUCUUUGUCUUGUGUCUUUAUUUCUUACAAUCUCUCGUCUCCGCACACGGGGAGAACACCCUCAAAGCCCCGUAGGGCUGGACCCUACACCAUAGAUUAGUUUUGCUUAGCUUUAAACGCUUUAUAAAUGGAAUUACACAGGAUGCAUUAUUGUGCCUGCAUUCAUUCAACACUAUGUAUGCCAGAUUUACCCAUAUUAUUGUAUGUAGCUGUAUUGUUCAUACAUUUGUAUUGCUGUAUAAUAUUCCAGUGUAUGAAUAUGCCAUAAUUUAUUUAUCCAUUACACUGUCAUUGAAUAUUGGGUUGUUUCCAGUUUGGGUUUAUUACAAAUAAUGCUGCCAUGAACCUCUUUCAUAUCUUUAAUUAUACUUGUGUAACCAUUUAUUUAAUACAUAUAGAUAGGCAGGAAGUUACUGGAUUAUACAAUACAUGCAUACUCUUCUUUAGUACAUAAUGUCAAACAUUUUCCAAAGUGGUUCUACCAAUCUACAUACCCAGCAUCAGGGUAUAAGAGCUCCAGUUGCUCCAUAAUCUUGCCAGUAUUUGGUAUAGACCAUCUUUUUAAUUUUAGCCAUUCUGAUGGGUCUGUAGUAUUAACUCAUUGUGGUUUUAAUGUGUAUUUUCCUGAACAUCUAUGAGGUUGAGCACCUUUUUAUAUAUGAUUGGUCAUUUUGCUCUCCUCUUUCAUGAAGUACCUUUUCAAGUCUCUUACUAUUUUUCUACUGGAGUGUGUAUUUUUUUAUUUAUUUAUAGGAGUUCUUUUAUAUAUUACUGAUAAGAUCCCUUUUUAUAUUUGUGGAUUUUCUUUUUACAUUGUAUGGUGUGGCUCUAUCAUAAUUUACCUAUUUUUAUUUAUAAUUAUUUAGAUUGCUUUCAAUGUUUUUAUUCCAACAACUUCUAUGAAUUGAGGAUUGUGGGUAUUGUUUAGGAUAGAGUAUUUAGUAUCAAUCUCUUAGGUUUUUUUCAACAGCAUUCAGCACCAUAUGAAAGGCAAAUGGCUGGGAUCAGCCAGGUUGAGUUUUUCUUUCCAGGAAAGUGAGAUUAAAAAAUAUAAUACCACAAGAUAAUUGAUAAUAUUGGUUUUCAAAAAGUCAUUGAAAUUAUAAAAUUGAUAAGGUCAAUCACGUGACUUGCUUGACCUUAUCAAUCACCUGGGCUACUCACCCUCCUUACCCUACCCCUUGUCUUGCAUGCAAUAAAUAUCAGCGCGCCUAGAUAUUCCAGGCUGCUACCAGAAUAGCGCACCCAGCUAUUCAGGGCCACUGUUGACUCUGAACUAUGUAAGGAGGGAAGUAAAGACAGCAUGGGAAUUAGAGUUACUAGAUAUAGAGAAAGAAAGGAUGGUGGGCUGGAGGCCAAGUGAAUUGGGAGGAAUAGAGUGACUACACUGUAAGGACAGGAAGUCAUGGUCAGAGAACAGUAUAUCUGAAUAUGUGGUUUCAGAAGUGGGACAAUUCUUCAGUAAUGAGAAGGACCAGAUAUGCCCGUAAGUGGCUGAAGUAGAAGGCAAGUGGUGAAUUUUGGUGAAAAUUUGCAAACCAUGCAUCUGACAAGGGGUUAUAUCCAAAAUAUACAAGGAAAUCAAACAACUCAAUAGCAACAAAACAAAACAAACACCAAAUAAUUUAAAAGUGGGCAAAAGACCAAAAUAGACAUUUCUCAAAAGAACACAUAUAUAUGGCCAACAGGUAUAUGAAAAAAAUGUUCAACAUCACUAAUCAUCACGGAAAUGCGAAUCAAAACUACAGUGUGAUAUCACCUCACCCCAAAUAGAAUGAGUAUUAUCAAAAAGGCGAAAAUGACAAAUGCUUGUGUGGAUAUGGAGAAAACGGAACCCUUACGCACUGUUUUGGUGGGAGUGUAAACUAGUACAACCAUUAUGGAAGACAGUAUAGAGUUUCCACAAAUGAAUUAAAAGUAGAAGUAUCAUAUGAUUCAGAAAUCCCACUACUGGGUACUGAUCCAAAGAAAAUCAAUAUGUCAAAGGGAAAUCUGCACUCCCAUGUUUCCUGGAGCCUUAUUCACAAUAGCCAAGCUAUGAAAUUAUCCUAAAAGUCCAUCAAUGCAUGAAUGAAUAAAGAAAAGGUAGUACAUAUGCACAAUAGAAUAAAAUUUAGUCAUAAAAAAAGCAUGACACCUUGUUAUUUGUAGCAAUGUAGAUGAACCUAUAGGGCAUUACGUUAAGUGAACUUAGAGGACAUCACAUUAAGUGAAAAAGCCAGGAACAGAAAGACAAAUACCACAUGAUCUCACUCAUUUGUGGGCUCUAAAAAAAGUCAAUCUCAUAAAAGUACAGAACAGAAUAGUGGUUGCUAGAGGAGAAAUGGGGAGAGAUUGGUGAAAGAGUACAAAAUUACAGAUAGGAGAAAUAAGUUGUGGUGUUCUAUUUCACGUUAGAGGGACUAUUGUAUAUUUCAAGACACCUAAAAGAGUCUUUUCGAUAUUUGCACCAAGAAGAAAUAAGUGAAGUGAUGUAUUUGUUACAUAUACUGAUUUGAUCAUUACACAAUGUACACAAGUAUUAAAAUAUCACACUGUACCCCAUAAAUAUGUGCAAUUCUUAUGUGUCAAAAAUCAAACUUUUACAAAAUACAGAAUGUGUUAUAAGUAAAACACACACACACACACACACACACACACACACACACACACACACACACAGAGAGGCCAGAGAAUUGAAUCAGGCCAUCUAAAUGAACACUGAAGUCACUCAGUGUGAUGAACUCAAGAAUAGGACUUUGAGACAAUUGUAACCAUGUUAAUAGGAAAAGAGAGAAAGAGAGUGUCCAGGAGAUGUUAGGGGACAGUGCAGGGAAAUGGUGAUGUAUAGCACAAGCUUUAAGGAGCAAGAGGUUUUCUUUUUUUUUCUUUAAACAUCCCUCCACUGGGAGUUCAGACCCACUGCCCAUCUAUCUCCCUAGCACCUGCUGCUCUGUGUUCCCCCACAGGCCCCUCAGGUCACUCAGCAUCCUCAGCAUUGGGCGGGUCACUGCUUGGCUCAGCAGAGACAUGAGGAAGGGUCCUGAGCUUUAUAACCCUUGGGCACUGCAGUGGGGAAGUGGUCAUGGGCUGGGGCACCAUUGCUGGUUUUCAGUGUUCGUGCUGAAUUUAUCAAAGUUUAACAACAUACCUUAUACCAGCAAUUCAAGUCUAUUUAUAUGUAAAUAUGCAUAUUAUAUUUAUUCAUCAUAUAUAGUUGCAUCAUU